rnacentral:tRNA from 1 species
UUCUAAUAUGGCAGAUUAGUGCUAUGAACUUAAGCUUCAUAUAUAAAGAUUAUUCUUUUGUUAGAAA